rnacentral:rRNA from 1 species
CCUACGGGGGGCAGCAGUGGGGGAUAUUGCACAAUGGGGGAAACCCUGAUGCAGCGACGCCGCGUGGGUGAAGAAGCGCCUCGGCGCGUAAAGCCCUGUCAGCAGGGAAGAAAAUGACGGUACCUGAAGAAGAAGCCCCGGCUAACUACGUGCCAGCAGCCGCGGUAGUACGUCGGGGGCAAGCGUUAUCCGGAUUUACGGGGGGUAAAGGGGGCGCAGACGGCGAUGCAAGCCAGGAGUGAAAGCCCGGGGCCCAACCCCGGGACUGCUCUUGGAACUGCGUGGCUAGAGUGCAGGAGGGGCAGGCGGAAUUCCUGGUGUAGCGGUGAAAUGCGUAGAUAUCAGGAGGAACACCGGUGGCGAAGGCGGCCUGCUGGACUGCAACUGACGUUGAGGCCCGAAAGCGUGGGGAGCAAACAGGAUUAGAUACCCCAGUAGUC